CACAAUGCUGAUAGAAGAAGCAAUUGAAUUCUACAAGGAACAGGUGAAAUCUUCUUUCGAAUCUCUCACA